rnacentral:rRNA from 1 species
CAGUCGCCGCGGUAAUACAGAGGGUGCGAGCGUUAAUCGGAUUUACUGGGCGUAAAGCGUGCGUAGGCGGCUUUUUAAGUCGGAUGUGAAAUCCCUGAGCUUAACUUAGGAAUUGCAUUCGAUACUGGGAAGCUAGAGUAUGGGAGAGGAUGGUAGAAUUCCAGGUGUAGCGGUGAAAUGCGUAGAGAUCUGGAGGAAUACCGAUGGCGAAGGCAGCCAUCUGGCCUAAUACUGACGCUGAGGUACGAAAGCAUGGGGAGCAAACAGGAUUAGAUACCCCCGUAGUCCCUGUCUCUUAUAC